AGGAGUAAGAGAAAUAUACUUACAAAUAUAUGACAGUAACAGUGAGCCAUCAACAUCUUGGAUCCUCUUCUUCUCAUUUCUCAAAAUGCAAGUAGAUCCCAACAAGCAUCCCUCAUUCUGUAAACUUUUAUUUAAAGAAGGUUUUAUGGAUAAAAUACUAAUGCCACCUGCAUUCAUCAAAGAACACAAGAAAAUGUUAGCCAAGACAUGUUUACUAAAAACAAAUGCAGCUGAAGGAAUGUUGUGGGAAGCAAAUAUAGUGAAGGAAAAGUCCUAUUUCUUCUUAUGUGGAAAAGAGUGGCCACAAUUUGUGAUGCAUCAUAAACUGGUGUUAGGGGACAUAUUGCUCUUUUUUCUCAUUGAUAAGUCAAUGUUCCAAGUCCUGGUCUACACCCAAAAAAGUCAUAUAAAUGAUUGUAGGGGGCAAAUAUUAGAGGAACUCAGCAGUUCUUCAGAAGAGCAACAAGACAAUGGAUUUGGACCUUCAAGAAGAUCUAAAAGAAUUAAAACAGAGCCAAAAGAAUUCCCAGAUGAUGUUUAUCUUUUUAUGAUAUUGGUUACUACAUUGUUCUGUACAUUUGCUAUUUUGUUGUCUCUUUUCUUUCCUACAUCCCUGCAUCGGUUACAUUCCUUUUGAGCCGAGGGUCUAUAAACAGCCUCUCUGCCCCGCAAAGAUAGAGGUAAGGUUUGCGUAUAAUACAUCCUACCUUCCCCAAACUCCACUUGUGGAAUUACACUGGGUAUGUUGUUGUUGUAUAUCUUUUUAUGCAUUUUGGGUUAUUUCAUUGUUUUCAAUUAAUCAGCUAUAGAUGCAUGAGUACAGCAUGCAGAAUUAAUAUAAUACGAGUAUAGAGUUUAUUGUCAAAACACACACACUAUCAAAUUUUUGCGAGUUUUACACCCCAACUAUUUGUUGUUCCAUUUUCCGACUUGUACUAUCACCAUCUAUUUCCUUUCCUACCUGAACUUUCACCAUUUAUGUAUUAAAACACACCUAGUUGAAUAGCGAGUUUUACACCCCAACUAUUUGUUGUUCCAUUUUCCGACUUGUACUAUCACCAUCUAUUUCCUUUCCUACCUGAACUUUCACCAUUUAUGUAUUAAAACACACCUAGUUGAAUAGCUAGUAAUAGUUCAGGUAGGAAAAAGGAACAAUUGUUAGUUGGCCUAGCCAGUUUCAAGAUGUGCUUUCGUACAUAGAUGGUGAUAGUUCGGUACGAAAAAGGAAUAACUGAUAAUUGGGGUGUGACCCUCAUGAAAAAGUGAUCGUUUUGUUAUGUCUUUGACCAUUAUCUCUAAAAUAAAUAAACACAAUGAAAACAAAUGAUUUUACAUAUAGGUCAUGAAAAUCCUACCGCCGCCACUGAAUUUACACGAGGGUAUAACAUGUAAGCGUGAGAUCCUUAAUUUUGCCUUUAAAAGUGUACUCCAUUUAGUAUGAGUUGAAGUUUUUAACUACUUAUACACUGAUAGUAUCAAAGGAAUUUUUCACUAUUACAUUACUAAGAAAAUAUUUUCAGGUAAUCAUUCAUAAUAUAUAAUAUGAGAUUAGUAAUCUGAAAGCAGAGUGUGUUACGUACAUUAAUUAUACACCAGGUUAAAAUUAACUUAUAGUGUAAAAUUCUUUACAUUGUUAGUUAUCUAAAUUAGAUGCCCUGAUCAGUACUGAACAUUAUGAGAGAAAGACAGGUGUUGUAAAGAACGAGGAAGCAGAGAGUGAAAGUGAAGAAAAUGGUCCAAAGAAGAUCAGAUUCAAUGUGGUGAAUUUAAGCAAUAAAGAUCCAUACUACAAAGUCGUUAUAAGAAAAUCACACUCAACUUAUAUGACUAUACCAAUUAGCUUCGCCAGACGGACUAGUAUAUUUAACAUGAAGAGAAUGACACUGGUUAAUGAAAAGGGGAAGGAGUGGCGGGUGGAUAUAGUACAUGAUCAUGGCGGUGGUGUUCGCAUAAGAGAAGGAUGGGCUGCAUUUCGAAAAGAUAACAAUAUAUCCUAUGGUGAAACUUACAUCUUCAAGUUGAUUCGGGGAAAUGAUGGUAGAAAAGUGUUACAAGUUCAAAAAAUUCCCAGACCCCAUUCGUUGUGAUAGCUUUGUUACUGGUCUGAGUAACACAGAAUGCUGCAGAGGUCUGCCUAAAGGUGAAGCGCUCUUUUUGCAAUAUGUACAUGUAUUAUACUUGGUUUCUUUUGGUCUCGUUUUGGUGUAUGUAAAAAGAACAUCGCAAUCUUUUGGCUAUUUGUGGAGUAACUGCUAGCCCGGGGCAAUGUUGGUCGAAUUGUUGUAUGAUAUGAUCAUCUUUGGACCUUUGGUAUCUUGCGUGUCAAUUAUGUUGAAUAUCACGUUUUGAUUUUGUGUCUG